UACGGGGGGCGCAAGCGUUAUUCGGAAUUAUUGGGCGUAAAGGGCGCGCAGGCGGUCUUGUCCGUCAGGUGUGAAAGCUCGGGGCUCAACCCCGGAAGUGCACUUGAAACAGCAAGACUUGAAUACGGGAGAGGAAAGCGGAAUUCCUGGUGUAGAGGUGAAAUUCGUAGAUAUCAGGAGGAACACCGAUGGCGAAGGCAGCUUUCUGGACCGAUAUUGACGCUGAGGCGCGAAGGCGUGGGUAGCAAACGGG
rnacentral:rRNA from 1 species